CAUCACCUGGCCCGCAUCCCCAGUGACAAGACAGAGGAUGAUGGCCACUUGCAGAGAAGGAACCACGUGACCUCCCUCGCAUUGUCUCCCUUACUUUUCAGCCUUAAGCUGUACAAGGCCUUUUCCCUUCCAUCUAGUGAGGAAGGGGAUGGAGCGCGAUGGGAAGCAUGCAAAGGCGAGAGAGUGGACUGUCACCCAGGCCUGACACGUGCCUGCGCCCGGAGACUGGCUGUCUUGGAGAAAGCCUCUGACCCAGUUCACAGCUCUGACUUCUCUACUGUCUAGGGGGCCUGGCCCCCCAUAUGCUCAUGACGACUGAGCCAUCGGGGCCAGGCACCCGACGGAGGUCCCACAAGGCCCCAGAAAGUGACUGGAGGGACUGUUCUUCCUGCCAGGCAGGUGGGGCGCAGGCAAGGGGCAGGGCCUCUACCCUUGAAGGUGAGCCGGUGUGUGCGGUGCUGAGGACGGACCCUCGGCCUUACGGAUCUAAGACAAGAGUGUCCUUUAAAGCUCCAAAAAAGAGAGAAAAAGGAAAAGGAAUUCGUCCCUCAGGGGUGCCAGGUGCGACCUCACCACGGCAAAACUGAAGAAGCGGCGGAUGAGCCUGAACCUGGACAGAACCCGGACCCAGGACGAGGAUAACCUUACAUCCAAUGACAACCGGUGCAAGGCCUUAAAGAGCCAAACACAAGCCAAGUUUCAGCAGGGCCCAGCAGCCCCGGACCAUGCAGUGUCCAGUGGGUCGUUUUUGGCCCUGAAACGUGAUUCUUUUUCCUUACCUUUGCCUGUUCCCUCUACAGCCUCCCCCCGAGAUCCCGUUCCCAUUCCUCUGGCCCAGCCUCGCCCGCCAGCCCGCCGCUUCCUCUCCACACUCACCCCCGUGUGGGGCCUGGUCUAUGGUUCUCUACUUGGUUUGUCCGUCUCGCCAGUGCCUGUUGUAACAACUUUCGGCCCCUCGGCUUUCCACCUGCUCCGCGGCACUUUCCUCCGCCCUCUCACCUCCACCAUCCUAAGAGUGUACACAAGGAGCAACUUCCUGGGGCCAGACCCUCCAGGGCCAUCCGGACCACUACCCCUCCCUCCCUCUGAGCCUCCCGUCCACUCCCCAGAUCUCUGUCCUCUCGGCGGCACACACCACUCCGGUCCUCCACCACCAAUGAAAUUUAAGGUGUGCCCCCCGAAACCCCCCAGGAGUCGAGGCGGGACCCGGUGCAACACCACCCUAAACCAGCAGCACCCUGGGGAG